rnacentral:lncRNA from 1 species
GCCCAAUGUCUUGCCUUGUCAAUUAAUAUUUAUUGAGCACAUUUUCAGGCACUUUGAAUUGAAGAUAUAGACAGACAAAAAGUUUCUUUGUCUUUCUAUCCCAUGACUGUAUUUUGCACAAGGUCAAUAAGAGGCUUCAGUGUUUUUACAAUUACCAAGAGGAUGGGAUUUGUUAUUGUGUGCAGAUAAAAUGUGCUGAUGCCUCCAUUAUUUAUGGGAUGAGAUAAAAGUCAUGCAGCCUUCUGAGACAAAAGCUAUUUGAAGAGGAUCUAAGUGUGUGACAAGAAAUCAUAAGGAAUGCAAUGUCCGGGCUGGAAUGGAUAAGGAGUAAUUAACAAAAUCUGGAUGAAAAGUGACUCUCCUUGAGAGCAGCAGCCAAUCAGAGUUAAUCCAGUAAGAAGGAACAAGGUGAAUACAAAUGCCUGACUUCAGGCCUCCUCCUUUCUCUGCUAUUUUACCCUAGUUCCCCAUUGUCCAAACCCACCUGAAACCAGAGAUCUAAGGAGCUGUUUUAUUUCAUAUACACAGAUUAGCUCCAGAAAGAAAGCAGUGUGAAAAAGAUGAAACACAGAUUUGAAAGCAAUCUUGAAGAUCAGACAGAAAACCAGCCUAUGAAUCAAAGAAGAAAAUCAAAAUCAGACUUCAUAACUGCUUCAGUAACCCUUGGCAACAGACAACACACUGGAUUUUGGCGAAUAACACUAAAAUUUUUGCUGGUGAGGUCUUCAGAAACUGGAUAGAUGUGAAACCACCAGAACAGAAGUGGAGCGGGCAUGGUAUCUGUUUCUUCAAUUUGUAGUUUUAUAGUCAAAAACUGGCAUGUAUAUACUUAAUUGGUAACAUGUAAGUCACGUGCCUCUAUCCCAACUCUAAGAGAGGUUGAGAACUUAAUUUCUGGCUUCUACCUUGGGAAGGAUCAGGCUUAUAAGCUGGAAAAUUAGCCAACAUACACAGGAUAUUCAAAGCUUCUAGGCAGUCAAAAUACUGUCAAGUGGUAAAACAGACAUGAAAAAACCUUUUUUUCUCUCCUAAAUUUAAAAAAAUAUAAUUUUUGUAAAACACUGUAUGUGGCUUUCCAUAAAAUUAAAAGAGUCUUGGGAGAGAGAACAUCUCAUAUGCUUCCUAGUGAAUUACUUCCACACUAAAGCAAUUAAUGAAAAUGAAAAUACCGUGUAUAAUAUUUUUAAAGCAGCCUUUUCACUGAUAAAUAUGUUUUAGGUAUAUAUACAGCUAUGGAAAAGUUUUCCUCAUAACAAUUCCAUUUUAUCUCAGGUAUAAUCGGUCAGGAGAAAUUAUUUCUUGUUGCUAAAAAUGGAACAAAACGUUUGAGCUAAAGAAACACAUUUCUCAUUCAACACACACAUCCACAGAAGUUUCUUCUCAUGCCAAAGUGAGCAAAUCUACACUUGGGAUUGUACAAUUUUUAUGAAAGU